rnacentral:rRNA from 1 species
GUGGGGAAUCUUGGACAAUGGGGGCAACCCUGAUCCAGCGAUGCCGCGUGAAUGAAGAAGGCCUUAGGGUUGUAAAGUUCUUUCACCCGUGACGAUAAUGACGGUAGCGGGAGAAGAAGCCCCGGCUAACUCCGUGCCAGCAGCCGCGGUAAGACGGAGGGGGCUAGCGUUGUUCGGAAUGACUGGGCGUAAAGGGCGUGUAGGCUGUUGAUCAAGUCAAGCGUGAAAGCCUCGGGCUUAACCCGAGAACUGCGUUUGAUACUGGUUGACUUGAGGACGAGAGAGGAAAGUGGAAUUCCGAGUGUAGAGGUGAAAUUCGUAGAUAUUCGGAGGAACAUCAGAGGCGAAGGCGGCUUUCUGGCUCGUAUCUGACGCUGAGGCGCGAAAGCGUGGGGAGCAAACAGGAUUAGAAACCCCAGUAGUCC